rnacentral:rRNA from 1 species
GACGAACGCUGGCGGCGUGCUUAACACAUGCAAGUCGAACGGAAAGGCCUGCUUUCCCUUGUGGAUUGCGGGUACUCGAGUGGCGAACGGGUGAGUAACACGUGAGUGAUCUGCCCCCAACUUGGGUAUAAGCCUGGGAAACUGGGUCUAAUUCCCGAUAGGACUGCAGGGUGGUGCCUGUGGUGGAAAACGAUUUUCUAGUGGUUGGGGAUGAGCUCGCGGCCUAUAAGCUGGUUGGUGGGGUAAUGGCCUACCAAGGCGGCGACGGGUAGCCGGCCUGGGGGGGUGGACGGCGACAUUGGGACUGAGAUACGGCCCAGACUCCUACGGGAGGCAGCAGUGGGGAAUAGAGCACAAUGGGCGGAAGCCUGAUGCAGCGACGCCGCGUGGGGGAUGACGGCCUUCGGGUUGUAAACUCCUUUCGACCGCGAGGAAGCCACCUGGUUGGAAGGGUGGUGACGGUAGUGGUAGAAGAAGCACCGGCUAACUACGUG